rnacentral:rRNA from 1 species
UAAAUACCGGCCAGAGACCGAUAGCGCACAAGUAGAGUGAUCGAAAGAUGAAAAGCACUUUGGAAAGAGAGUUAAAAAGUACGUGAAAUUGUUGAAAGGGAAGCGCUUGCAACCAGACUUGUCCGCAGUUGCUCAGCCGGUCUCCUGACCGGCGUACUCUUCUGCGGCCAGGCCAGCAUCAGUUCGGGCGGUCGGAUAAAGACCUCGGGAAUGUGGCUCCCUUCGGGGAGUGUUAUAGCCCGGGGUGGAAUGCGGCCAGCCUGGACUGAGGAACUCGCUUCGGCUAGGAUGCUGGCGUAAUGGUUGUAAGCGGCCCGUCUUGAAACACGGACCAAGGAGUCUAACAUCUAUGCGAGUGUUUGGGUGUCAAACCCAUACGCGAAAUGAAAGUGAACGGAGGUGGGAACCCUCACGGGUGCACCAUCGGCCGAUCCUGAUGUCUUCGGAUGGAUUUGAGCAAGAGCAUAGCUGUUGGGACCCGAAAGAUGGUGAACUAUACCUGAAUAGGGUGAAGCCAGAGGAAACUCUGGUGGAGGCUCGCAGCGGUUCUGACGUGCAAAUCGA